rnacentral:rRNA from 1 species
AGUGAACGCUGGCGGUAGGCCUAACACAUGCAAGUCGAACGGCAGCACAGUAAGAGCUUGCUCUUACGGGUGGCGAGUGGCGGACGGGUGAGGAAUACAUCGGAAUCUACUUUUUCGUGGGGGAUAACGUAGGGAAACUUACGCUAAUACCGCAUACGACCUACGGGUGAAAGCAGGGGAUCUUCGGACCUUGCGCGAUUGAAUGAGCCGAUGUCGGAUUAGCUAGUUGGCGGGGUAAAGGCCCACCAAGGCGACGAUCCGUAGCUGGUCUGAGAGGAUGAUCAGCCAAACUGGAACUGAGACACGGUCCAGACUCCUACGGGAGGCAGCAGUGGGGAAUAUUGGACAAUGGGCGCAAGCCUGAUCCAGCCAUACCGCGUGGGUGAAGAAGGCCUUCGGGUUGUAAAGCCCUUUUGUUUGGAAAGAAAAGCAGCAGGUUAAUACCCCGCUGUUCUGACGGUACCCAAAGAAUAAGCACCGGCUAACUUCGUG